GCAGACAUAGAAGGGAUGGGUUCGAAGCAUACUUCUAUCCCUUUGGUUAGAGCAACCACCCCAUGGGUCUCUCGAAUGUUUUUCUACGUACGGAGGGGGUGUUAAAGGUGCCCUCUGAAUGUCAGAGUACCCCUCCAAGUCCCAUCCAGGAGGGGCUCCUAUAGCCAACUUACAGAUGUCAGGGAAAAGAUCAGGCCACCAAGUCCACAGAGGGUGUACCUCGGCGAUUGUCCAUACAGCCCUACCCCCCUCAUUGAGUACCUCCCACGUUUGUUGAACAGGACUGUGGGGGUUGAAGUCUUUUGGGAUCGCUCCUACGAAGCAGGCGCAACUUAAAAGGAUUAGUAGUCUUCUCCAAAGUCCACUCAUCAUGGCUGACUCCAGGGGGUGCUCUCUUGACGUGGGAUGCGUGGACCCAAGUGGGGAUUCCUUCCACUUUGACCGCGGUGGGCGUUGUCAGUAGCACCAAGUAGGGUCCCUUCCACCUCGGUUCUAGGUUUCCCGCUCGGUGUCUCCUCACCAGGACUGCGUCUCCUACUUCAAACUGAUGCGGCACCUGUGUGUCACCAGCAACAUAGGUUUCUUUUAGCUGUUCCCAGACCUCUUUUCUUACUAUUUCGAGAGCUUUUAAUCGAGCCAAAAGACUAGAAGAAGGAGAGAAAGACACAUCCGGGCGAUUCUUAUCCC
rnacentral:lncRNA from 1 species